rnacentral:rRNA from 1 species
GACGAACGCUGGCGGCGUGCUUAACACAUGCAAGUCGAACGGAAAGGCCCUGCUUUUGUGGGGUGCUCGAGUGGCGAACGGGUGAGUAACCCGUGAGUAACCUGCCCUUGACUUUGGGAUAACUUCAGGAAACUGGGGCUAAUACCGGAUAGGAGCUCCUGCUGCAUGGUGGGGGUUGGAUAGUUUCGGCGGUUGGGGAUGGACUCGCGGCUUAUCAGCUUGUUGGUGGGGUAGUGGCUUACCAAGGCUUUGACGGGUGGCCGGCCUGCGAGGGUGACCGGCCACAUUGGGACUGGGAUACGGCACAGACUCCUACGGGAGGCAGCAGUGGGGAAUAGUGCACAAUGGGCGGAAGCCUGAUGCAGCAACGCCGCGUGCGGGAUGACGGCCUUCGGGUUGGAAACCGCUUUCGCCUGUGACGAAGCGUGAGUGACGGUAAUGGGUAAAGAAGCACCGGCUAACUACGUG